GAUGAACGCUGGCGGCGUGCCUAAUACAUGCAAGUCGAGCGAACAGACGAGGAGCUUGCUCCUCUGACGUUAGCGGCGGACGGGUGAGUAACACGUGGAUAACCUACCUAUAAGACUGGGAUAACUUCGGGAAACCGGAGCUAAUACCGUAUAAUAUAUUGAACCGCAUGGUUCAAUAGUGAAAGACGGUUUUGCUGUCACUUAUAGAUGGAUCCGCGCCGCAUUAGCUAGUUGGUAAGGUAACGGCUUACCAAGGCAACGAUGCGUAGCCGACCUGAGAGGGUGAUCGGCCACACUGGAACUGAGACACGGUCCAGACUCCUACGGGAGGCAGCAGUAGGGAAUCGUACGCAAUGGGCGAAAGCCUGACGGAGCAAAGCCGAGUGAGUGAUGAAGGUCUUCGGAUCGGAAAACUCUGUUAUUAGGGAAGAACAAAUGUGUAAGUAACUAUGCACGUCUUGACGGUACCUAAUCAGAAAGCCACGGCUAACUACGUG
rnacentral:rRNA from 1 species